AUCCCUUCUUCCUUUUCCUUUGGAUCCCUUAUUCCUUUUCCUUUGGAUCCCUUCUUCCUUUUCCGUUGGAUAUCAUCUUUUUUUCUUCUUUGGAUCCCUUCUUCCUUUUCCGUUGGAUCCCUUCUUCCUUUUCCUUUGGAUCUCUUCUUCUUUUUCCGUUGGAUCCCUUCUUCCUUUUGCUUUGGAUUCCUUCUUCCUUUUUCCGUUGGAUCCCUUCUUCGUUUUGCUUUGGAUUCCUUCUUCUUUUUCCGUUGGAUCUCUUUCUUUUUCCUUUGGAUCCCUUCUUCCUUUUCCGUUGGAUCCCUUCUUCUUUUUCCUUUGGAUUCCUUCUUUUCUGACUCUUCUCUUCACUUUCCCACAUGUCUCUCUAUUGAAUGUCAUUGGUUUUUUUUAAAUGCUUUGCACUUUCUGUUGACUACUAUACUAGUCGUGAAUAUUUAAACUGUGUAUGUUAUGCUAUAAUGAACAUUCAAACGACAUGUUUGAUUAUAUUAAACACUUGCCUACUACAUGUUGGGGGUUAGACUGUUUCAGUCACUUUUUGUGUGUGUGUGUGCGGUAUUUUAAAGUACAUGCUAUAUUCUACGAAUUCUACGAGAUAGUAAUUUACAGCCUAAUCUUUGCUAAUUCAGCUUAUACCACCACUUCAGUCAAUUACAAUUUCUUUCCUUUGUUCGAGAUACCAAACAAAAUAAUUUUUGUGUUGUCAGGUAAAAGAAAUAAUUGAGCAAAAGUUCAGCUUGAUCAGAGAUUGAGUGUGGGAGAAAUCACGUGUACAAACGUUUUACUAGACAGACAGAGUGAGUUGAUAUAAGCUUUGUACAAAUAUCCUAGACAUUUAUUCUCAACUGAAGUUAUUUAGUUUGCUAGUCGAGCCUAACAUAAGGAACAUGUUGCAGAUUCUUGUGUCCGUUUCUAGUAUACAUUCAGUCGUGUUCCCACUUGACCCAAAGUAAGAGGAUAUAGGCCUACAUCUUGUAAUGUUGUUGGUUAGUCAUUGAGUGUGUGACUGGACCUGACAGAUCCACAGUCUAGCAACGUCCCGAGACAUGACGUUAAACUGCGCUCCUCUUUCCUUAGCACUUUUGGAGCUCAAAAGUGCCCUACUUCUUUUCUAUCAUUGUGUCUGCCUCCUCUUUUCCUCAGUCUGCCUUCAUUGAUCAUCACUCUGUCUCCUUAUCUCUAAAUAUCUCACUACGUCCUAGACCAGUCCGUUUGCAGUGGACUGCGACGGGUAAGGGGGGGAUAAAGAGAUCCUGGUGUUUGAGUGGUGGCUAUCUGAGGAUAAACCACCACAACACAAUACUUUGGCUCCAAGUUCCCCUAGACCCGAGGCCCAGAUGGCCCGCUCUGGGUCAAUCGGCUGGUCAUGCCGAGCGGUGGGCGGUGGCUGUAUCGGACACAUGUCCGAUGCAGCAGCUGACUGAGUAUAGCACCUGUGUAGCCCUGGCGGGCUCAUUCUGGACUUCCGAAUGGCCCGUCCCCUUGUUGGACUCAAUGGCGGGUGGGGAGCACAGGUGCCGAAUUAACAAGAAUAUACAUGGACAAAAAAAAACCCCAACAAACUACUUGCCCCAGAUUUAAGUCUGGGCAAGAGACGCCGCAUUGAGGCAAAAAAGGAGGAGGCCACAAAAAGCUGUACUACCUGGCCAUCAUUUUUGGUGGUCAGGUGCACAGAGGAGGGGAAAAGUCUGACAAAGCUGAGCCCUUUCCUUAUCUAUAAGGGACUCGAGUCAGUAGUGGGAGAGCCCAAGAGUGUGUCUAAGCUACGCAAAUCAAUGGAACUUCUUGUAGAAGUAGAUGGGCUUUUAAGAUGCAGAAGACUCUGUGAUCUCCAAGUGGAAGUCAUGCCACACAAGAGUCUGAACACCAGCAGAGGUGUAAUCAGCUCUAGGGACCUACUGGAAUGUUCCGAGAAGGAAAUAGUGGAGGGCAUUGAAGGAGUCACCCAUGCCCGGCGCAUUAACAGGCGCAGGGAUGGUGAGGAGGUCAAAACCACUAUUAUCCUCACAUUCGGAACUAGGACACCGCCAGAGUAUGUGAAGGCAGGAUACCUACGAGUUCCAGUGAGGCCCUACAUACCUAACCCCAUGAGGUGCUUCAAGUGCCAGGGUUAUGGACACGGCGCGGCAGUCUGCAAGAGGAACACUGUGUGUGCCAGAUGUGCUGGAGAGGGUCAUGAGGACAAGGGCUGCAAAGCCCAGUUCAAGUGCCCAAACUGUCAAGCUGGCCACUCAGCCUACUCCAAGGACUGCCCUGUGUGGAAACAGGAGGUUGCCGUGCAGGAGUACAAGGCAAGAAAUGGAUGUACCUUCAGCCAGGCGAAAUCGGCUGUACUGGCCCUACCCAAGGGCCAAUUCGGCUUGACAAAGACCUACGCCCAGGCUGUUGCUAAGAUAGGAAGAUCCAUAGCCACACAGACGGACACAUUGACCCCACCACCCCCUCCUCCUCCUCCAACUCAGAAGAAAACACCACCAAAGAACACACCUCUGAAGAAACAAGAAAGCCCCGUUGUCAUGCUAAAGAACAGGUUCUCUGUGCUCGCUGAUGAGAGCAUGGAGACUGAGCAGCAUGUCAAAACCAAUACUCCGGGAGAACCCGGAGACAUCAUAUCUGACACAGGUUCUCCACAGGCGCUUUCCCAAACAGCUGGAGGAAAGCCACAGUUAUACCGAUACCUAAACCGGGAAGAGACGGCUCUGACCCAGCUAACUAUCGACCAAUAGCACUAACAAGCUGCAUCUGCAAAACCAUGGAAAGAAUGAUUAACAGUAGGCUGGUCUGGUACCUGGAAAGGAAUAAAGUGAUCUCAAACUACCAGUGCGGAUUCCGGCAGGGGCGGACAACUGACCACCUGGUAAGGCUGGAAGCAUAUAUUAGAAAUGCAUUACUCAGAAGAGAACAUCUAGUAGCUGUAUUCUUCGAUAUAGAAAAGGCCUAUGACACAACCUGGAAACAUGACAUUCUACGUGACCUGGCGCUUAUGGGGCUUAAGGGACACCUCCCCCGUUUUGUGGAAGAAUUCCUGAAAGAUCGAAAAUUUCAGGUUCGAGUGGGCAACUCCGCUUCUGACACUCAUGACCAGGAAAUGGGUGUACCCCAGGGCAGCAUUCUGUCAGUCACCCUGUUCAACAUUAAAAUAAAUAGCAUCAUAAAUGCGCUGUCCCCUGGCAUAGAGUGCUCUUUGUAUGUUGAUGACUUUGUCAUUCUCACUUAUGGGAAAAACAUGAACACCUUAGAAAGAAAAUUACAGUUAUGUUUAAACAAAAUUCAGGGUUGGGCAAACUAUAAUGGUUUCAAAUUCUCAGACUCCAAAACAGUUAGUAUGCAUUUUUGUAAUCUAAGGGGACUCCACCCAGACCCUGAACUAUUUAUACACAAAAAGAAGAUCCCUGUCGUGAAAACUACAACAUUUUUAGGCCUCACCUUAGAUUCCAAAUUUAAUUUUCUCCCCCAUAUUAAGGAACUUAAGAAGAAAUGCCAAAAGUCAUUAAACAUACUAAGAGUACUCAGCCAUACGGACUGGGGAGCUGACAGAGAUACCUUGCUGCUGCUCUAUCGGAGUCUAAUUCGAUCCAAGCUAGACUACGGAUCCAUAAUAUAUGGAGCAGCAAGGAAGUAGUACCUAAAAAUACUGGAACCAAUACAAAAUGCUGCCCUGCGUCUCUGUCUCGGCGCGUUUCGUACAUCACCUAUCCCAAGUCUCCAUGUGGAGGCUGGAGAACUCCCCAUGGAUAUAAGAAUGAAAAAGCUUGCAAUGCAGUAUAUAGUCAAGCUAAAAUCCAACCCCACGAACCCUGCUUUUGACUCCAUAUUAAACCCCACAGAGGUAGAAUUAUACAAUCGAAGGCCUAACGUCAUACAGCCGUUGGGCCGUCGAAUGAGAGAACCCAUCCAAAAUUUAACCCCACCCAUUGACCAAAUCUCUAAAAUAGAAACCCCUCAGAACCCUCCUUGGCUAAUGAAUAAACCCAAAUUAAAUUUAUCCCUCCUCAAUUUCAAAAAAGAAAAUACAGACCCAAGCAUAUUACAAGUCCACUUUAGGGAACUGCAGGAGAGCUACGGAGAUUGUGGCACCAUCUACACAGACGGAUCCAAAAUGGAGGGAAAGGUCGCGUGUGCCUGCUCCUUUCGGAACAAAACAAUCUCCCGUAGACUCCCCGAUGGCUGCUCCAUCUUUACGGCCGAAUUGCACGCAAUAUUGCUUGCACUUAUGGCCGUAAAAGCAUCAGAAAGGAGGAAAUUUAUAAUCUGCUCCGACUCCAAAUCUGUAUUGCAAGCUUUGGGGCGGAUGAAGACUGACAUCCCAUUGGUACAUAAGAGCCUGAAGCUGUUGGACCAAAUAACAGCCGACCGUAGGGAUGUCACCUUCAUCUGGGUCCCCUCCCAUGUUGGCAUUGAGGGAAACGAAGCCGCAGACAGAGAAGCAAAGAGAGCCCUAAAUCAUGCGGUGUCAGGAACCCAAAUUCCCUACUCGGACCUGAGACAAAGUAUUGCCUCUGCCACCUAUCGAGAGUAGCAGAACCGAUGGGAGGCUAAGACUCACAGUAAACUCAGGCAGAUUGUGGCGGAUGUCAGGUGGCGGCCCACAUCUAAGGGUCUGACAAGGCGUGGUAGCACAACCAUGUCCAGACUUAGGAUUGGCCACACCUACAUCACGCACUCUUUUGUACUGAAGAGAGAGGAGCCCCCACUUUGCGAGUACUGUGACUCUCGCCUCACCGUGGAACUUAUCCUCGUUGAUUGCCCCAGAUACCAGGAUGUCAGGGCGAAAUAUUUUAGAGUCACUAAUUUAAAUACACUAUUUGAUAAUGUCGACCCUGGGAAGGUACUGGGCUUUAUCCGGGAAGUGGGGCUAUCUACGAAGAUCUGAUUUAUGAAUUUGUGAACAUGCACUAUUUACAUUAGAUUUUUACCAAAUAUUUAAAUUUUUACUACCUUUACUAUUUUAACUGUGAACAGACCUUGAUUUUAACGAUAUGACUGUAUAGAAUCUGGCCCUUGUUGUUUAGAAAGAGAGGGAUCCUUAAGGGACUGCAGGCACGACAUGGCCUAAAUUGUGCCGAUGUGCCUCAAAUCAAAAAUCAAUCCACAGUCUAGCAGGGGCGUAGCUAGGAAUUUACCAUCGUUUGGGGGCCCGGGAUGGGGGGCUUGACCUCUCUGGGGAACCCUGCAUUUUACGUAAUAUUUAAUUUUUAAUGUAAAAACAUUCAUUUGAGGGGGUCCGGGGGGGGUUCUAAUUCUCUCCCCCCCCCCACUCUAGCUGCGCCACUGCAGUCUAGACUAUUACAUUAGAACAUCCCAAGUAUCCUCCUUGGACCUCAUCGUCUCAUUGGGUGUGAGACACCAGCCCCAUUGUUCACACAACCAUUCCGCACAUGAUAGUAGUAUCAUGAAACGAGUGGAAUGGGGCUUAUAAGUAUCUUGAAACAUGAGUGGAAUGGGGCUUAUAAGUAUCUUGAAACAAGAGUGGAAUGGGGCUUAUAAGUAUCAUGAAACAAGAGUGGAAUGAGUCUUAUAAGUAUCUUGAAACAAGAGUGGAAAGGGGCUUAUAGAGUCUCGUGGGGAAAUGUUCAUUCCAAACACAGUAAGGAGGACAUCAUUUGGUUGAAAAAAAAGCGAAAGUACUUUUUGUGAUUUGUAGAUAGACGAAUAAUAGAAAAACACCAAGAAACACUAGCACGAGAGAUAAACCUAGAGAGGCAAACCUGUUAAAAGUAAACCUAGAGAAGUAAACCUAAGCGUUUCAAAGUCCUGUUACUGAACAUGUGAAGUCAAUGGCAUGAUGGAACACAAGAUGUACGCCAGUGUGAAGAGAUUAGUGAGAAACCUUCACGUUAACAGCUGACAGACAGCACAAAUAUGAGAAGGGAAGAUGGAGCGGUAGUUUUUAUGGAGUAGACAUUCCCUCCCGGGGAAAAUGAUAAAAAGAAGAGGAUGCAGUUGUUGCCAACUCAGUGCAGUCAGAGUGCAAGAGAAAACAAUGAUGUCCAUAUAAUUGUAAAGUAGGAUUACAGCCACAUUCCAUCUUUAUACUGAUCAUUUCUAUGUCAUUAUUUAACAUUUGAAUGUUACAUUUUUAUCUAUUAUAAAGUUAUACAGCAUUAUCUUCUCUCUUUUUUUUUCUUUGCUUGUGUUUGGAUAAAAAAAGUUUGACGUGUAGAAUUUGAUUGAUAUCAAUAUUUUUAGCUUCAACUAGUGACUAUGUUAUGUAGGCUACAUAUGUUUAUUAUUAUCGUAAAAAAAAUUAAUACUAAUCAUUGAAUCAUUCUCUAGCACUGUUAAUUGGAAACAAAAGUCAUUGUCUAGUCCCCUUAAUAAUGUCCACUGAAAAAGUUUUGUACUGAAAUGGCAGGUCUGCAGCAGUACCGUCUCAUUGAUAAUAAAAACAAAAAAAACUUACUCUUGGUCAGUGCUUCAAAGUUUUAUGUGGAGUCAGUUAUCCCUACGUUUCCGCUAAUGUCCAACUAGAGUAUAUAUUAUUCUUUUAUUCAAAUUUGACAUCCAUUUUCAUUUUAAUUUUUUUUAAAGUUCAGAGAUAUUGGUACUGUAGGAAGGCUACUGACAGCAAUAGUACGUUUUUAUUUUCUGACCAAACAUCAUUUUUUAAUGAGGGUGAUGCUUGUGUCUCCUGGACACUAGGUUUCUUAAUCAUAACUUCUUUUUUUUCAUUCAUCUCUCUCUUUCUCUCUCUCUCAUUUGUGCAGCUUUUUCUUUUUAUUCAGACACACCACAUGAUUUUGGUAAUGUGUGCAACCAUGACAAAUAAAAUAACCGUAAUUCUCAAUGGUAUUAAAGGUCGUAAUGAUUAUUUACAGACAUAUCUGCCCAACUCAUAGUUUAGUCAAGUUUUAGAAUGAACAUAGCAGUGAAAAUAUCUACAAGAAAUAACUCGUCGUUUGUCUAUAUGACUGGAACUAUUAGUAACGUAAUCUUAGCAUAGGUAGAUAGAAACGGGAUCGUUCAAAUGAGCAAACUUGAAUUAAAAAACACCAUAGUUGGCAGCACUGACUGGACUGUGAAGAUAAAGAAGAGCAGACGAUGGAAUGAGAAAAGCGGGAGUGACUUCCCCAGUGAGUCAUUUCUGACUGGAACUUUUUAUGUUGUUUUAAGAAUGAGUGAAAACUAGAAUCUAGUAACAUGUUGACCACAGACAACGAGACAAAUAUUGUAGCGUUGAAUGUGAACUACAAUAUUUGACAUUUGCUCUUGCUUGCAAUAGUCAGGUUUUGGAAAAGCACUCCGUGGACAUGCCCGUGUUCUUCUACAUUGACCCGGAGUUUGCUGAAGACCCAAAGCUGGAGCAUGUUGAGAGCAUCAUGCUGUCUUAUACAUUUUUUGAGGCCAAGGAAGGCUUGGCACUCCCACUGCCAGGUUACCAUCAGCC